rnacentral:rRNA from 1 species
AUCUGGGCGACGGAAUUCAGGAUGACGGUCGCGUCUUAACGGCGUGCCCGUCGUUUGAUAUUUCCGUCGCCGGCGUACAGACGUCGCGACCCGUUCGUCGUCGGUCCCUGUUCGAAGGAGUCGCGUUCGAGCUCGUUGUGGGGUGCGUUUCGCGCGUACUUUUCACGGCGAAGGCGCGGAUUUUCUGGCUGACGACGGACGGUACGUUUAAGGGUGGCCGACGCGCGCGUAAGCGCGCGCGUCGGUGCCGGUCGGCGACGAAUUCUUCGGGCCUCUUUCCGACCCGUCUUGAAACACGGACCAAGGAGUCUAACAUGCGCGCGAGUCGCGGGGCGUCGAGCGUACCACGGUGCGUUCGUUACGUUGCGAAACCCGUACAUGUCGAAGGCGUAAUGAAAGUGAAUCGGGAAGAUGGUGUUCCGAGUUCACGUUCCGCGAUCGUCGGUAUCGCGGCCGGACACCCGCAUUCCCGGGGCGUCUCAACGGCCCGUCGCGGAUGCGGACGAUCGACUCUCGGGUCGGCCGUCGGUCUGCGACGAACCGA